rnacentral:rRNA from 1 species
AUUGAACGCUGGCGGCAUGCCUUACACAUGCAAGUCGAACGGCAGCACGGGUGCUUGCACCUGGUGGCGAGUGGCGAACGGGUGAGUAAUACAUCGGAACAUGUCCUGUAGUGGGGGAUAGCCCGGCGAAAGCCGGAUUAAUACCGCAUACGAUCCACGGAUGAAAGCGGGGGACCUUCGGGCCUCGCGCUAUAGGGUUGGCCGAUGGCUGAUUAGCUAGUUGGUGGGGUAAAGGCCUACCAAGGCGACGAUCAGUAGCUGGUCUGAGAGGACGACCAGCCACACUGGGACUGAGACACGGCCCAGACUCCUACGGGAGGCAGCAGUGGGGAAUUUUGGACAAUGGGCGAAAGCCUGAUCCAGCAAUGCCGCGUGUGUAAAGAAGGCCUUCGGGUUGUAAAGCACUUUUGUCCGGAAAGAAAUCCUUGGCUCUAAUACAGUCGGGGGAUGACGGUACCGGAAGAAUAAGCACCGGCUAACUACGUG